GAUGAAGAACGCAGCGAAAUGCGAUAAGUAAUGUGAAUUGCAGAAUUCAGUGAAUCAUCGAAUCUUUGAACGCACAUUUCGCCCGCCAGUAUUCUGGCGGGCAUGCCUGUUCGAGCGUCAUUUCAACCAUCAAGCCCCCCGGCUUGUGUUGGGGACCUGCGGCUGCCGCAGGCCCUGAAAAGCAGUGGCGGGCUCGCUGUCACACCGAGCGUAGUAGAUCUCAUCCCGCUCAGGGCGUGCUGCGGGUUCCGGCCGUUAAACCACCUUCAUAACCCAAGGUUGACCUCGGAUCAGGUAGGAAGACCCGCUGAACUUAAGCAUAUCAAUAAGCGGAGGA
rnacentral:misc_RNA from 1 species